AGCGUACACGGUGGAUGCCCUGGCAGUCAGAGGCGAUGAAGGACGUGCUAAUCUGCGAUAAGCGUCGGUAAGGUGAUAUGAACCGUUAUAACCGGCGAUUUCCGAAUGGGGAAACCCAGUGUGUUUCGACACACUAUCAUUAACUGAAUCCAUAGGUUAAUGAGGCGAACCGGGGGAACUGAAACAUCUAAGUACCCCGAGGAAAAGAAAUCAACCGAGAUUCCCCCAGUAGCGGCGAGCGAACGGGGAGGAGCCCAGAGCCUGAAUCAGUGUGUGUGUUAGUGGAAGCGUCUGGAAAGGCGCGCGAUACAGGGUGACAGCCCCGUACACAAAAAUGCACAUGCUGUGAGCUCGAUGAGUAGGGCGGGACACGUGGUAUCCUGUCUGAAUAUGGGGGGACCAUCCUCCAAGGCUAAAUACUCCUGACUGACCGAUAGUGAACCAGUACCGUGAGGGAAAGGCGAAAAGAACCCCGGCGAGGGGAGUGAAAAAGAACCUGAAACCGUGUACGUACAAGCAGUGGGAGCACGCUUAGGCGUGUGACUGCGUACCUUUUGUAUAAUGGGUCAGCGACUUAUAUUCUGUAGCAAGGUUAACCGAAUAGGGGAGCCGAAGGGAAACCGAGUCUUAACUGGGCGUUAAGUUGCAGGGUAUAGACCCGAAACCCGGUGAUCUAGCCAUGGGCAGGUUGAAGGUUGGGUAACACUAACUGGAGGACCGAACCGACUAAUGUUGAAAAAUUAGCGGAUGACUUGUGGCUGGGGGUGAAAGGCCAAUCAAACCGGGAGAUAGCUGGUUCUCCCCGAAAGCUAUUUAGGUAGCGCCUCGUGAAUUCAUCUCCGGGGGUAGAGCACUGUUUCGGCAAGGGGGUCAUCCCGACUUACCAACCCGAUGCAAACUGCGAAUACCGGAGAAUGUUAUCACGGGAGACACACGGCGGGUGCUAACGUCCGUCGUGAAGAGGGAAACAACCCAGACCGCCAGCUAAGGUCCCAAAGUCAUGGUUAAGUGGGAAACGAUGUGGGAAGGCCCAGACAGCCAGGAUGUUGGCUUAGAAGCAGCCAUCAUUUAAAGAAAGCGUAAUAGCUCACUGGUCGAGUCGGCCUGCGCGGAAGAUGUAACGGGGCUAAACCAUGCACCGAAGCUGCGGCAGCGACACUAUGUGUUGUUGGGUAGGGGAGCGUUCUGUAAGCCUGUGAAGGUGUACUGUGAGGUAUGCUGGAGGUAUCAGAAGUGCGAAUGCUGACAUAAGUAACGAUAAAGCGGGUGAAAAGCCCGCUCGCCGGAAGACCAAGGGUUCCUGUCCAACGUUAAUCGGGGCAGGGUGAGUCGACCCCUAAGGCGAGGCCGAAAGGCGUAGUCGAUGGGAAACAGGUUAAUAUUCCUGUACUUGGUGUUACUGCGAAGGGGGGACGGAGAAGGCUAUGUUGGCCGGGCGACGGUUGUCCCGGUUUAAGCGUGUAGGCUGGUUUUCCAGGCAAAUCCGGAAAAUCAAGGCUGAGGCGUGAUGACGAGGCACUACGGUGCUGAAGCAACAAAUGCCCUGCUUCCAGGAAAAGCCUCUAAGCAUCAGGUAACAUCAAAUCGUACCCCAAACCGACACAGGUGGUCAGGUAGAGAAUACCAAGGCGCUUGAGAGAACUCGGGUGAAGGAACUAGGCAAAAUGGUGCCGUAACUUCGGGAGAAGGCACGCUGAUAUGUAGGUGAGGUCCCUCGCGGAUGGAGCUGAAAUCAGUCGAAGAUACCAGCUGGCUGCAACUGUUUAUUAAAAACACAGCACUGUGCAAACACGAAAGUGGACGUAUACGGUGUGACGCCUGCCCGGUGCCGGAAGGUUAAUUGAUGGGGUUAGCGCAAGCGAAGCUCUUGAUCGAAGCCCCGGUAAACGGCGGCCGUAACUAUAACGGUCCUAAGGUAGCGAAAUUCCUUGUCGGGUAAGUUCCGACCUGCACGAAUGGCGUAAUGAUGGCCAGGCUGUCUCCACCCGAGACUCAGUGAAAUUGAACUCGCUGUGAAGAUGCAGUGUACCCGCGGCAAGACGGAAAGACCCCGUGAACCUUUACUAUAGCUUGACACUGAACAUUGAGCCUUGAUGUGUAGGAUAGGUGGGAGGCUUAGAAGUGUGGACGCCAGUCUGCAUGGAGCCGACCUUGAAAUACCACCCUUUAAUGUUUGAUGUUCUAACGUUGACCCGUAAUCCGGGUUGCGGACAGUGUCUGGUGGGUAGUUUGACUGGGGCGGUCUCCUCCUAAAGAGUAACGGAGGAGCACGAAGGUUGGCUAAUCCUGGUCGGACAUCAGGAGGUUAGUGCAAUGGCAUAAGCCAGCUUGACUGCGAGCGUGACGGCGCGAGCAGGUGCGAAAGCAGGUCAUAGUGAUCCGGUGGUUCUGAAUGGAAGGGCCAUCGCUCAACGGAUAAAAGGUACUCCGGGGAUAACAGGCUGAUACCGCCCAAGAGUUCAUAUCGACGGCGGUGUUUGGCACCUCGAUGUCGGCUCAUCACAUCCUGGGGCUGAAGUAGGUCCCAAGGGUAUGGCUGUUCGCCAUUUAAAGUGGUACGCGAGCUGGGUUUAGAACGUCGUGAGACAGUUCGGUCCCUAUCUGCCGUGGGCGCUGGAGAACUGAGGGGGGCUGCUCCUAGUACGAGAGGACCGGAGUGGACGCAUCACUGGUGUUCGGGUUGUCAUGCCAAUGGCACUGCCCGGUAGCUAAAUGCGGAAGAGAUAAGUGCUGAAAGCAUCUAAGCACGAAACUUGCCCCGAGAUGAGUUCU
rnacentral:rRNA from 1 species